GGUCAAGUGAAGAAGCGCAUACGGUGGAUGCCUUGGCAGUCAGAGGCGAUGAAAGACGUGGUAGCCUGCGAAAAGCUUCGGGGAGUCGGCAAACAGACUGUGAUCCGGAGAUGUCUGAAUGGGGGAACCCAGCCAUCAUAAGAUGGUUAUCUUGUACUGAAUACAUAGGUGCAAGAGGCGAACCAGGGGAACUGAAACAUCUAAGUACCCUGAGGAAAAGAAAUCAACCGAGAUUCCCUUAGUAGUGGCGAGCGAACGGGGACCAGCCCUUAAGUUGUAUUGAGAUUAGCGGAACGUUCUGGAAAGGACGGCCAUAGUGGGUGAUAGCCCUGUACGCGAAAAUCCCUUUGCAAUGAAAUCGAGUAGGACGGGGCACGAGAAACCUUGUCUGAAUAUGGGGGGACCAUCCUCCAAGGCUAAAUACUACUGACUGACCGAUAGUGAACCAGUACCGUGAGGGAAAGGCGAAAAGAACCGCGGAGAGCGGAGUGAAAUAGAUCCUGAAACCGUAUGCGUACAAGCAGUGGGAGCCCACUUUGUUGGGUGACUGCGUACCUUUUGUAUAAUGGGUCAGCGACUUAUUUUCAGUGGCGAGCUUAACCGAAUAGGGGAGGCGUAGCGAAAGCGAGUCUUAAUAGGGCGUCUAGUCGCUGGGAAUAGACCCGAAACCGGGCGAUCUAUCCAUGGGCAGGUUGAAGGUUGGGUAACACUAACUGGAGGACCGAACCGACUACCGUUGAAAAGUUAGCGGAUGACCUGUGGAUCGGAGUGAAAGGCUAAUCAAGCUCGGAGAUAGCUGGUUCUCCUCGAAAGCUAUUUAGGUAGCGCCUCAUGUAUCACUGUAGGGGGUAGAGCACUGUUUCGGCUAGGGGGUCAUCCCGACUUACCAAACCGAUGCAAACUCCGAAUACCUACAAGUGCCGAGCAUGGGAGACACACGGCGGGUGCUAACGUCCGUCGUGAAAAGGGAAACAACCCAGACCGUCAGCUAAGGUCCCAAAGUCAUGGUUAAGUGGGAAACGAUGUGGGAAGGCUUAGACAGCUAGGAGGUUGGCUUAGAAGCAGCCACCCUUUAAAGAAAGCGUAAUAGCUCACUAGUCGAGUCGGCCUGCGCGGAAGAUGUAACGGGGCUCAAACCAUGCACCGAAGCUACGGGUAUCAUCUUUUGAUGAUGCGGUAGAGGAGCGUUCUGUAAGCCUGUGAAGGUGAGUUGAGAAGCUUGCUGGAGGUAUCAGAAGUGCGAAUGCUGACAUGAGUAACGACAAUGGGUGUGAAAAACACCCACGCCGAAAGACCAAGGUUUCCUGCGCAACGUUAAUCGACGCAGGGUUAGUCGGUCCCUAAGGCGAGGCUGAAAAGCGUAGUCGAUGGAAAACAGGUUAAUAUUCCUGUACUUCUGGUUAUUGCGAUGGAGGGACGGAGAAGGCUAGGCCAGCCUGGCGUUGGUUGUCCAGGUUUAAGGUGGUAGGCUGAGAUCUUAGGUAAAUCCGGGAUCUUAAGGCCGAGAGCUGAUGACGAGUGUUCUUUUAGAACACGAAGUGGUUGAUGCCAUGCUUCCAAGAAAAGCUUCUAAGCUUCAGGUAACCAGGAACCGUACCCCAAACCGACACAGGUGGUUGGGUAGAGAAUACCAAGGCGCUUGAGAGAACUCGGGUGAAGGAACUAGGCAAAAUGGCACCGUAACUUCGGGAGAAGGUGCGCCGGUGGAGGUGAAGCAUUUACUGCGUAAGCCCCUGCCGGUCGAAGAUACCAGGCCGCUGCGACUGUUUAUUAAAAACACAGCACUCUGCAAACACGAAAGUGGACGUAUAGGGUGUGACGCCUGCCCGGUGCCGGAAGGUUAAUUGAUGGGGUUAGCGCAAGCGAAGCUCUUGAUCGAAGCCCCGGUAAACGGCGGCCGUAACUAUAACGGUCCUAAGGUAGCGAAAUUCCUUGUCGGGUAAGUUCCGACCUGCACGAAUGGCGUAACGAUGGCGGCGCUGUCUCCACCCGAGACUCAGUGAAAUUGAAAUCGCUGUGAAGAUGCAGUGUAUCCGCGGCUAGACGGAAAGACCCCGUGAACCUUUACUAUAGCUUUGCACUGGACUUUGAAUUUGCUUGUGUAGGAUAGGUGGGAGGCUUUGAAGCGUGGACGCCAGUCUGCGUGGAGCCAACCUUGAAAUACCACCCUGGCAACUUUGAGGUUCUAACUCAGGUCCGUUAUCCGGAUCGAGGACAGUGUAUGGUGGGUAGUUUGACUGGGGCGGUCUCCUCCUAAAGAGUAACGGAGGAGUACGAAGGUGCGCUCAGACCGGUCGGAAAUCGGUCGUAGAGUAUAAAGGCAAAAGCGCGCUUGACUGCGAGACAGACACGUCGAGCAGGUACGAAAGUAGGUCUUAGUGAUCCGGUGGUUCUGUAUGGAAGGGCCAUCGCUCAACGGAUAAAAGGUACUCCGGGGAUAACAGGCUGAUACCGCCCAAGAGUUCAUAUCGACGGCGGUGUUUGGCACCUCGAUGUCGGCUCAUCACAUCCUGGGGCUGAAGCCGGUCCCAAGGGUAUGGCUGUUCGCCAUUUAAAGUGGUACGCGAGCUGGGUUUAGAACGUCGUGAGACAGUUCGGUCCCUAUCUGCCGUGGACGUUUGAGAUUUGAGAGGGGCUGCUCCUAGUACGAGAGGACCGGAGUGGACGAACCUCUGGUGUUCCGGUUGUCACGCCAGUGGCAUUGCCGGGUAGCUAUGUUCGGAAAAGAUAACCGCUGAAAGCAUCUAAGCGGGAAACUUGCCUCAAGAUGAGAUCUCACUGGAACCUUGAGUUCCCUAAAGGGCCGUCGAAGACUACGACGUUGAUAGGUUGGGUGUGUAAGCGCUGUGAGGCGUUGAGCUAACCAAUACUAAUUGCCCGUGAGGCUUGACCAU
rnacentral:rRNA from 3 species